rnacentral:rRNA from 1 species
UGUUUCGGCAAGGGGGUCAUCCCGACUUACCAACCCGAUGCAAACUGCGAAUACCGGAGAAUGUUAUCACGGGAGACACACGGCGGGUGCUAACGUCCGUCGUGAAGAGGGAAACAACCCAGACCGCCAGCUAAGGUCCCAAAGUCAUGGUUAAGUGGGAAACGAUGUGGGAAGGCCCAGACAGCCAGGAUGUUGGCUUAGAAGCAGCCAUCAUUUAAAGAAAGCGUAAUAGCUCACUGGUCGAGUCGGCCUGCGCGGAAGAUGUAACGGGGCUAAACCAUGCACCGAAGCUGCGGCAGCGACGCUUAUGCGUUGUUGGGUAGGGGAGCGUUCUGUAAGCCUGUGAAGGUGUGCUGUGAGGCAUGCUGGAGGUAUCAGAAGUGCGAAUGCUGACAUAAGUAACGAUAAAGCGGGUGAAAAGCCCGCUCGCCGGAAGACCAAGGGUUCCUGUCCAACGUUAAUCGGGGCAGGGUGAGUCGACCCCUAAGGCGAGGCCGAAAGGCGUAGUCGAUGGGAAACAGGUUAAUAUUCCUGUACUUGGUGUUACUGCGAAGGGGGGACGGAGAAGGCUAUGUUGGCCGGGCGACGGUUGUCCCGGUUUAAGCGUGUAGGCUGGUUUUCCAGGCAAAUCCGGAAAAUCAAGGCUGAGGCGUGAUGACGAGGCACUACGGUGCUGAAGCAACAAAUGCCCUGCUUCCAGGAAAAG